UGGAGCAGCCAGAGGAAGAAGAACAUCUUGGAAUGCUGUGAGUUUAGCUAGUCCACCAUAUUCUUCCGGCAAGGCAUCUAGUUCUACUUUUUCUUCGAGCUUUCGCUGUUCUUCACUGUCCGUUACUAUUACAAUCUAGUCAACAAAAGUUGGUUUGUCUAGAAAACGGCAGACAAAUCUCCAAAGUGUCACGAAAAUUCCAGGCAUGUGCAAGAUGUAGCAUUUUGAGAGGCGUUCCGGGUAGUAAGCCUGAAGAUGGAUUUAUAUAUAGUUAUAAACUUAUGACACAUGUGAUCUUGAGAAAACAAAAGGAGAUGGUUGAUUUACUUGUAAGAAUUGAAAGCCGGUGAUAGUUCCACGAGCAUCGAGGUUCUUGUAUGUAAUGUUUUGCAGAUCAAUAAGACAUACCACCUUCUCA